ACGCAUUCUGUUGCUUCGGCCAGAAUCAGACUCUAAUAGUGAGUCGGCACUUCUGUUGCUUCGGCCAGAAGCUGUCACAUUUUUUGAGCAUGAUAGAUCUGUCGCUCCGGACAGAUCAAUCAAGGAUGAGGAGCAGCAUGAGAGGCAGCUCCGCACGGCAAGGUCAGUAAAUCAAUUAAUAUAUCAUUUAGACUGAUAUAGUUGUUUUGCAGGUUGUUUUUUGUUUUGCAGGCACGAUUCUGUUGCUUCGGCCAGAAUCCACGCAUUCUGUUGCUUCGGCCAGAAUCAAACCAAGAACUAUGUUGUCGCUUUGGCUUCAAUAGUUCUUCAAACAUUUGGAGAUCAUUUUUGUCAUGUGACCUUAAUGAUCUCGACCCAUCUUGCGCUUCGGCCUAUGGGGUAACCGUCGUUGCGGACAAAAAGUCGCCCUUGAUCAGGGUAGACUAUAAACAUCAGAUUCC
rnacentral:lncRNA from 1 species